GAUGAACGCUGGCGGCGUGCUUAACACAUGCAAGUCGAACGAAGCACCUUGAUUCGAUUCUUCGGAUGAAGAUCUUGGUGACUGAGUGGCGGACGGGUGAGCAACGCGUGGGUAACCUGCCCCAUACAGGGGGAUAACAGUUAGAAAUGACUGCUAAUACCGCAUAAGAUCACAGCCCCGCAUGGUGCAGGGGUAAAAACUGCGCGGGUAUGAGAUGGACCCGCGUCUGAUUAGGUAGUUGGUGGGGUAACGGCCUACCAAGCCGACGAUCAGUAGCCGAACUGAGAGCAUGACCGGCCACAUUGGGAGUGAGACACGGACCGAACACCUACGGAAGGAAGCAGGGGGGAAUAUUGAACAAUGGGGGAGUCCAUGAUGCAGCGGCGCCGCGUGAGCGAUGAAGUAUUGCGGUAUGUAAAGCACUAUGAGCAGGGAAGAAAAUGACGGUACCUGACGAAGAAGCAACGGCUAAAUACGUG
rnacentral:rRNA from 1 species